GAUGAAGAACGUAGCGAAAUGCGAUAAGUAAUGUGAAUUGCAGAAUUCAGUGAAUCAUCGAAUCUUUGAACGCACAUUGCGCCCUCUGGUAUUCCGGGGGGCAUGCCUGUUCGAGCGUCAUUAUAACCACUCAAGCUCUCGCUUGGUAUUGGGGCUCGCGGUUCCGCGGCCCCUAAAAUCAGUGGCGGUGCCUGUCGGCUCUACGCGUAGUAAUACUCCUCGCGAUUGAGUCUCGGUAGGUCUACUUGCCAGCAACCCCCAAUUUUUACAGGUUGACCUCGGAUCAGGUAGGGAUACCCGCUGAACUUAAGCAUAUCAAUAAGCGGAGGA
rnacentral:misc_RNA from 1 species